UAAACUGGUUUACGCAUUCGUAAUGCGUGGGUCGGUGGUUCAAGUCCACUAAACGGCACCA
rnacentral:tRNA from 1 species